UACGAAGGGGGCUAGCGUUGCUCGGAAUCACUGGGCGUAAAGGGUGCGCAGGCGGGCCAUUAAGUCAGGGGUGAAAGACGGUUGCUCAACAAUCGCAGUGCCUUUGAUACUGGUGGUCUUGGGUAACCUUGAGGUAGGCGGAAUGGGUGGUGUAGCGGUGAAAUGCAUAGAUACCACCCAGAACUCCGAUUGCGAAGGCAGCCUACUGGAGGUUCACCGACGCUCAGGCACGAAAGCGUGGGGAUCAAACAGG
rnacentral:rRNA from 1 species